rnacentral:rRNA from 1 species
UGGGGAAUAUUGCGCAAUGGGGGCAACCCUGACGCAGCAACGCCGCGUGCAGGAAGAAGGUCUUCGGAUUGUAAACUGUUGUCGCAAGGGAAGAAGACAGUGACGGUACCUUGUGAGAAAGUCACGGCUAACUACGUGCCAGCAGCCGCGGUAAUACGUAGGUGACAAGCGUUGUCCGGAUUUACUGGGUGUAAAGGGCGCGUAGGCGGGAUAGCAAGUCAGUCGUGAAAUACCGAGGCUCAACCUCGGGGCUGCGAUUGAAACUGUUAUUCUUGAGUAUCGGAGAGGAAAGCGGAAUUCCUAGUGUAGCGGUGAAAUGCGUAGAUAUUAGGAGGAACACCAGUGGCGAAGGCGGCUUUCUGGACGACAACUGACGCUGAGGCGCGAAAGUGUGGGGAGCAAACAGGAUUAGAUACCCUGGUAGU